CCUACGGGGCGCAGCAGUGAGGAAUAUUGGUCAAUGGACGAGAGUCUGAACCAGCCAAGUAGCGUGAAGGAUGACGGUCCUAUGGAUUGUAAACCUCUUUUGUCGGGGAGCAAAAGACGCCACGCGUGGCGUUCCGAGAGUACCCGAAGAAAAAGCAUCGGCUAACUCCGUGCCAGCAGCCGCGGUAAUACGGAGGAUCCGAGCGUUAUCCGGAUUUAUUGGGUUUAAAGGGAGCGUAGAUGGGUUGUUAAGUCAGUUGUGAAAGUUUGCGGCUCAACCGUAAAAUUGCAAUUGAUACUGGCAGUCUUGAGUACAGUUGAGGUAGGCGGAAUUCGUGGUGUAGCGGUGAAAUGCUUAGAUAUCACGAAGAACCCCGAUUGCGAAGGCAGCUUACUAAACUGUGACUGACAUUGAUGCUCGAAAGUGUGGGUAUCAAACAGGAUUAGAUACCCUGGUAGUC
rnacentral:rRNA from 1 species